GAAUCCAAGGCAGGCCAACAUAUUGAAAUAAUAGCUACAAAACUCCUAACCUUCUUUGGGGGUCAUACACAGCAUACUAUACUUGGGAAUGGCAUUCUGACACAUUUAUUACAUAAUAAUGCUAUUAUAUGUAAUGCUAUUCUGACACAUUUGUUAGGUAACAUUAAUGGCUUUGAGUGGGACUUAGAACAAGAAAAGGCUCUGAAACAGAUCCAAGAUGUUGUUUGAGCCAUGCAACUAGAAGAUCUCAUAGAACUAAAGUUAUCUAAUUUACAGAAAAGGUUUUACGUGACGUCUAUUGUACAGAUUCAUAUGAAAACCAUAGUUCAAACUCCAAGGUUUAAGAAGUAAGAAAGAUCAUGCCAUUUGCAACAAACAUGCAUGCAUAUUUGAAAAGCAACUAUCUGUUGUGGGAAAACUAGAAGACCAAAAAAAGCACGAAAGUCAAGAAAGAAGUCUCUUUUCACAUGAAAGUGGCCUGAAGACAAAUACUGCUAUGAAUGGUUACAUCUAGGACUUCUGAAAUUAGCCCCAGAUUCAACUCAUUUUUUUCUGCAUUUGCUGAGCAAUAUGACAUGUUUACACCGAUUAGCUAAAAAGUUAUGUGAAGAAUGGGCAACAAUAUCUCUAA
rnacentral:lncRNA from 1 species